rnacentral:tRNA from 1 species
GGAGAGAUGUCAGAGUGGUCGAAUGUGCUCGCUUGGAAAGCGGGUGUGGGGAAACUCACCGGGGGUUCGAAUCCCCCCCUCUCCG